CCUACGGGUGGCAGCAGUAGGGAAUAUUGCUCAAUGGGGGAAACUCUGAAGCAGCAACGCCGCGUGGAGGAUGAAGGUUUUAGGAUUGUAAACUCCUUUUGUGAGAGAAGAUAAUGACGGUAUCUCACGAAUAAGCACCGGCUAACCCCGUGACAGCAGGCGCGGUAAUACGGAGGGUGCCAGCGUUACUCGGAAGCACUGGGCGUAAAGAGUACGCAGGCGGGCUUGUAAGUCAGUUGGGAAAUUCUGGAGCUUAACUGCAGAACUGCAUUUGAAACUGUGAGUCUAGAGUGGUGGAGAGGUAGGUGGAAUUCCUGGGGGAGGGGUGAAAUCCGUAGAUAUCAAGAAGAA
rnacentral:rRNA from 1 species